GAUUAAUUCGAUGCAACGCGAAAAACCUUACCUACCCUUGACAUGGUCGGAAUCCUGAAGAGAUUCGGGAGUGCUCGAAAGAGAACCGGCGCACAGGUGCUGCAUGGCUGUCGUCAGCUCGUGUCGUGAGAUGUUGGGUUAAGUCCCGCAACGAGCGCAACCCUUGUCCUUAGUUGCCAUCAUUAAGUUGGGCACUCUAAACAGACUGCCGGUGACAAACCGGAGGAAGGUGGGGAUGACGUCAAGUCAGCAUGCCCCUUACGUCCUGGGCUACACACGUACUACAAUGGUAGGGACAGAGGGCAGCCAACCCGCGAGGGCGAGCUAAUCCCGUAAACCCUGCCUCAGUUCAGAUUGCAG
rnacentral:rRNA from 1 species